rnacentral:rRNA from 1 species
AAAUCCGGACCUUUUUUAACGCUGAGGUGUGAUGACGAGGCACUACGGUGCUGAAGUAACAAAUGCCCUGCUUCCAGGAAAAGCCUCUAAGCAUCAGGUAACAACGAAUCGUACCCCAAACCGACACAGGUGGUCAGGUAGAGAAUACCAAGGCGCUUGAGAGAACUCGGGUGAAGGAACUAGGCAAAAUGGUGCCGUAACUUCGGGAGAAGGCACGCUGAUGGUAGGUGAAGUGACUUGCUCAUGGAGCUGAAAUCAGUCGAAGAUACCAGCUGGCUGCAACUGUUUAUUAAAAACACAGCACUGUGCAAACACGAAAGUGGACGUAUACGGUGUGACGCCUGCCCGGUGCCGGAAGGUUAAUUGAUGGGGUUAUCCGUAAGGAGAAGCUCUUGAUCGAAGCCCCGGUAAACGGCGGCCGUAACUAUAACGGUCCUAAGGUAGCGAAAUUCCUUGUCGGGUAAGUUCCGACCUGCACGAAUGGCGUAAUGAUGGCCAGGCUGUCUCCACCCGAGACUCAGUGAAAUUGAACUCGCUGUGAAGAUGCAGUGUACCCGCGGCAAGACGGAAAGACCCCGUGAACCUUUACUAUAGCUUGACACUGAACAUUGAGCCUUGAUGUGUAGGAUAGGUGGGAGGCUUUGAAGUGUGGACGCCAGUCUGCAUGGAGCCAACCUUGAAAUACCACCCUUUAAUGUUUGAUGUUCUAACGUAGACCCGUGAUCCGGGUUGCGGACAGUGUCUGGUGGGUAGUUUGACUGGGGCGGUCUCCUCCCAAAGAGUAACGGAGGAGCACGAAGGUUAGCUAAUCCUGGUCGGACAUCAGGAGGUUAGUGCAAUGGCAUAAGCUAGCUUGACUGCGAGCGUGACGGCGCGAGCAGGUGCGAAAGCAGGUCAUAGUGAUCCGGUGGUUCUGAAUGGAAGGGCCAUCGCUCAACGGAUAAAAGGUACUCCGGGGAUAACAGGCUGAUACCGCCCAAGAGUUCAUAUCGACGGCGGUGUUUGGCACCUCGAUGUCGGCUCAUCACAUCCUGGGGCUGAAGUAGGUCCCAAGGGUAUGGCUGUUCGCCAUUUAAAGUGGUACGCGAGCUGGGUUUAGAACGUCGUGAGACAGUUCGGUCCCUAUCUGCCGUGGGCGCUGGAGAAUUGAGGGGGGCUGCUCCUAGUACGAGAGGACCGGAGUGGACGCAUCACUGGUGUUCGGGUUGUCAUGCCAAUGGCAUUGCCCGGUAGCUAAAUGCGGAAAAGAUAAGUGCUGAAAGCAUCUAAGCACGAAACUUGCCCCGAGAUGAGUUCUCCCUGACUCCUUGAGAGUCCUGAAGGAACGUUGAAGACGACGACGUUGAUAGGUCGGGUGUGUAAGCGUAGCGAUACGUUGAGCUAACCGAUACUAAUGAACCGUGAGGCUUAACCUU